rfam:Richelia intracellularis HM01, WGS project CAIS01000000 data, contig: 02191
UGGUAGAUGCGCCCUGAUAACUUACUUCCCCAGCCAGAUUAAAUAGGCUGGGGGUUUCCUUC